rnacentral:rRNA from 1 species
UACGGGGGGAGCAAGCGUUGUUCGGAUUUACUGGGCGUAAAGGGCGCGUAGGCGGCGCAACAAGUCACUUGUGAAAUCUCCGGGCUUAACUCGGAAAGGUCAACUGAUACUGUGCGACUAGAGUGCGGAAGGGGCAACUGGAAUUCUCGGUGUAGCGGUGAAAUGCGUAGAUAUCGAGAGGAACACCUGCGGCGAAGGCGGGUUGCUGGGCCGACACUGACGCUGAUGCGCGAAAGCCAGGGGAGCGAACGGG